GGCCUCCUGGUGCUUACCACAGACUGUGUUCUUACACUGACUGUACAGAAAAAGGAGGCAGAGCAAACCUACCCUAUACACACAUCAGCCCAGGCCCUGAGCCUGGUCUGUAUUCUGAAUAGGGGAACAUGG
rnacentral:snoRNA from 1 species